UACGUAGGUGGCAAGCGUUGUCCGGAAUUAUUGGGCGUAAAGCGUGCGCAGGCGGUUUUGUAAGUCUGACGUGAAAUCCCCGGGCUCAACCUGGGAAUUGCGUUGGAGACUGCAAGGCUGGAGUCUGGCAGAGGGGGGUAGAAUUCCACGUGUAGCAGUGAAAUGCGUAGAGAUGUGGAGGAACACCGAUGGCGAAGGCAGCCCCCUGGGUCAAGACUGACGCUCAUGCACGAAAGCGUGGGGAGCAAACAGG
rnacentral:rRNA from 1 species